UUCCUAUGCAUAUACUUCUUUGAGAAUUGAAUCUAAAGAGGCAUACGGCAUGGGAAAA
rnacentral:pre_miRNA from 1 species